CGGCAGCGGCAGGCGAAGCAGGAGGCCACAGUGGCACGGGAAGAGCAGGAGCGGCUGGAGGCGCUGCGGUUGGAACAGGAGGUGGCGCGGCAGGGCCUGGAGGGCUCCCUAUGAGCGGCGGAGCAGGCCCAGGAGGCAGUGGAGCAGCAGCUCCCCACGCUGCAUCAUGAGUGCAGCCGGCUGCAGGAGCAGCUAGCGCAGGUCAUUGCGAUGGAAGAAGUCUCAGAGUCUCUCUCACAUCAAGAGGACAGAUGGGGACAGGGAUCCUGGAGCUUUUCUUCUCCUGUGUUCUGGUUGCAUACUUGAAUCCCAGGAAACAGUGUGACACGGUGCCAAUUUACUGCCAAACAUGCCCGGUUUGUCAACAGAGCCAGACAAGGAGGAGAGGAGAGAUUCAUGCCCCAAACACAGGCCAGCUGAGGAGGGCUUCGUCCUCCUUCCUUUGGCCCAGAUGAGGGAGCGCCUUCCCAGAAGUCACAUGAGGAAAAACCGUGCUCAGGUCAGAACUGGACCCAGCCUGUGCCUGGCUGGGUCUGGCUGGAAGUUGAUCUGUAAAGAGAAGACAGGGAAGGGUGGGGGAGUUCAGAUCUUUGAAAAUACAAAGCAGAUAAAAGUUGGUUUCUCUCUGGACAGAAAAA
ensembl:lncRNA CROCCP3 CROCC pseudogene 3